UUCAAGUACUUUGUAGCUUCCAAUAAUGGAUCUUCAACCUGCAAUAACUUUUCCCCACUCGGAUCUGGAUCUACAGGUUUGGCAUGCCGCUUUCCUGACUUGGAGAUGCCACUAGCACUUGAUUCUUCGUUCUUUACCUCUGCCUCUCUCUUAGCUCGAGCUUCCGCCUUUUUCUGUUUUUGUCUCAUUUUCUUUUUCUGAGAAGGCAGCAACUUUGACAUUUCAUCAUC
rnacentral:misc_RNA from 1 species